GUGUGGGUGUGUCCUGUUAUUCUGUACGGUUACAAACGGCUUCAUCUUCUUCUUGCCUCACUGAAAUGUCACCCAAAGAGGUUUAACGUUUCAUUUGAGGGAUGAGGAAGUAGUGACUUAUGUUAUUAAUUUCAGCAAUGGAAAGGUCCUCUUGGUUACAUUGGCGCCUGUGUGGCAUAACCGGACACA